AUGGCUUCUUCUGUGACUGCCUCAUCCGUGCUUAAGCUAGGGGCCAUUGUCCUCUGCGUCGUGCUCGCCGCAUCGUCCGUGCGGCGAACGGCGCCGCGGGACUGUGACUCGCUCUGCGAGACCGCGUGCUCCUACCUCGAGUCAGCGGCCUGCAACGGCCUCUGCGGGGUCCCCGCCGCCGCCUCCUCCGAGAAGCCGACAUGCCAGUCCUGCAAGGAGGCGACCAAGAAGUCGUGCAACACCGAGUGCGUCAGCAUGUGCAACACCACGCCGGAUUCGCCGUCUACCUGCAGUGCCAGUGGGAACAAGUAG
rnacentral:rRNA from 1 species